rnacentral:rRNA from 1 species
GAUGAACGCUGGCGGCGUGCCUAAUACAUGCAAGUCGAGCGAACAGACGAGGAGCUUGCUCCUCUGACGUUAGCGGCGGACGGGUGAGUAACACGUGGAUAACCUACCUAUAAGACUUGGAUAACUUCGGGAAACCGGAGUUAAUACCGGAUAAUAUAUUGAACCUCAUGGUUCAAUAGUGAAAGACGGUUUUGCUGUCACUUAUAGAUGGAUCCGCGCCUCAUUAGCUAGUUGGUAAGGUAACGGCUUACCAAGGCAACGAUGCGUAGCCGACCUGAGAGGGUGAACGGCCACACUGGAACUGAGACACGGUCCAGACUCCUACGGGAGGCAGCAGUAGGGAAUCUUACGCAAGGGGCGAAAGCCUGACGGAGCAAAGCCGCGUGAGUGAUGAAGGUCUUCGGAUCGUAAAACUCUGUUAUUAGGGAAGAACAAAUGUGUAAGUAACUAUGAACGUCUUGACGGUACCUAAUCAGAAAGCCACGGCUAACUACGUG